UGACGGUACCUAACCAGAAAGCACGGCUAACUACGUGCCAGCAGCCGCGGUAAUACGUAGGUGGCAAGCGUUAUCCGGAAAUUAUUGGGCGUAAAGCGCGCGCAGCGGUCUCUUAAGUCUGAUGUGAAAGCCCACGGCUCAACCGUGGAGGGUCAUUGGAAACUGGGAGACUUGAGUGCAGGAGAGAAAAGUGGAAUUCCACGUGUAGCGGUGAAAUGCGUAGAGAUGUGGAGGAACACCAGUGGCGAAGGCGGCUUUUUGGCCUGUAACUGACGCUGAGGCGCGAAAGCGUGGGGAGCAAACAGGAUUAGAUACCCUGGUAGUCCACGCCGUAAACGAUGAGUGCUAGGUGUUGGGGGGUUCCACCCUCAGUGCUGAAGUUAACACAUUAAGCACUCCGCCUGGGGAGUACGACCGCAAGGUUGAAACUCAAAGGAAUUGACGGGGGCCCGCACAAGCAGUGGAGCAUGUGGUUUAAUUCGAAGCAACGCGAAGAACCUUACCAGGUCUUGACAUCCUCUGACCACUCUAGAGAUAGAGCUUUCCCCUUCGGGGGACAGAGUGACAGGUGG
rnacentral:rRNA from 1 species